rnacentral:rRNA from 1 species
GAUGAACGCUGGCGGCGUGCCUAAUACAUGCAAGUCGAGCGAACGGACGAGAAGCUUGCUUCUCUGAUGUUAGCGGCGGACGGGUGAGUAACACGUGGAUAACCUACCUAUAAGACUGGGAUAACUUCGGGAAACCGGAGCUAAUACCGGAUAAUAUUUUGAACCGCAUGGUUCAAAAGUGAAAGACGGUCUUGCUGUCACUUAUAGAUGGAUCCGCGCUGCAUUAGCUAGUUGGUAAGGUAACGGCUUACCAAGGCAACGAUGCAUAGCCGACCUGAGAGGAGGAUCGGCCACACUGGAACUGAGACACGGUCCAGACUCCUACGGGAGGCAGCAGUAGGGAAUCUUCCGCAAUGGGCGAAAGCCUGACGGAGCAACGCCGCGUGAGUGAUGAAGGUCUUCGGAUCGUAAAACUCUGUUAUUAGGGAAGAACAUAUGUGUAAGUAACUGUGCACAUCUUGACGGUACCUAAUCAGAAAGCCACGGCUAACUACGUG